UAAUUCCAGUGUCUGCACAUCCCCCCACUCAGCAACUCUCUAGUCUCCGCUGAGGCCUUUCCACAGUAACCUCGGAAUUAUCACAUACACACACUGCAGCCCCGCCUCAGGGCUCAGCUUCCAGCCCGCAAAGUUGUCCUGCCAGGCAGCCCCAGGCUGAGCCAGCUGAUAAAUAGUGGGUGAGAGGUCAGCCCCAUGAUACGGGACCAGGACUAGGAUCAGUAAACAGGAGCCCUGUGCCUGGUGUUAACUUUCCUCUGCCUUGAAGCGUUGCCAGAGUGAAACAACCUUUGAAAACCCAUAAAGCAUGCUGCUGCCUUCCCUCCUUCUUGCCCCUGCUCCUGUUUUAUGCCUGGAAGUGUAAAGGGGCAUACCAGCUUCCAUUUGUUGUCUUAAAAGGUAAAAUAGCCUUGCAACUGAACGCUGAUUGCUAGAGUUGGCAAGUUGGCAGUAUGUUUUCCUGAAGAUCACAGGUUAUUCACAGUCCUAUUACAGACACCGAAGGCUGGCCUUUCGGAUCCAGCAACAACACAGUCCUGGGUCCCUUGAUGCUGGGGAAGAAACCAGCUCGGUUGGCAGCAGUAAGGAGCAGUUCCACCUGGACUACUACUGAUAACAGUACUGCCAUCACCAGCUCCCUGGGCCAGCUUCCCUACCGAGCAGCCAUUGUGCCACCUCAGCAGAUUGAGAGACAUUGCGGACUGAACAAGGCACUAAUUUAAUCAAUGACACUGAGUCCCUACCCUCAACAAGUCACAUAGGCCAAAAUUUUCAGACUUAGAUACCUAAUGUUAUGCCCCCAAGUCCAGGGGUGCUGAGCACCUACAGAUCCAACUGACUCCAGCACUUCUAGAAAUCAAAUCACUUUUAUACAGGUUCCUGAAUAGGGAUUUAGAUGCCUUAUCUUAUAUGCACAAGUUUGGAAAAUUCUAGCUUUAAUCUUUCUGUGCCUCCAUUUCCAGAUCUAUAACAGUCUCCACUUCUGCAGCAGAAGGCUUGGCCAGGUGGAACCUAACCAUUCUCACCAGCUGCACACACGUUUGGCAUAAAUUGUCAUUGAUUAUUAUGGUAGUGCCUGCAUUCUACUCAGCCCUGUCUAAGUAUAUAGUAAGGCAGACCAUGCUCCAAGGAUCUUGAAAUAAGCGACAUAAGGAUGGGCAAGAGGUAUUAUGGGUUGGGUUAAAUUUAAUUGAAACUGCUGAGUGUAACAGCCAUGCUUCAUUUGGAGUAAAUGUAGGACAAAAUUAAGCUUCUGUGUGGAACCAGAUAGCUGAAAUAACAAAAGCCUUCUGUCAAAACAAAAACCAUGAUGCAGGUCAUCACCCAAAAUAGAAGCCUAUGUAAGGCACAUAGGGGAUGAGGGGUGUCACUGGAUAUUGUUUGUUGGAAGUACCUGUGUCUGUGUGAGAGAAAGAAGCAGGAAAAACACCAGAGAAGCAGAAAGACCAGGAGCAGAAAGCCAAGGAAUUAGAACAUCCACUGGGAUCAUGGCCCUGAGAAAAAGGUUAGAGAGCUUUUUGCACUGAGUAUUGGCUGAAAUAAAUUUAGAAUGUGAGCAAAGAAAUUAUUUCCUGUUUAAUUCCUGUGGUGCUCAGGGAAACCGGACUUUGUACGCUCUUUGUAAAUAAAUAGGAUUGCACUUGGCCAAAGAAA